CUCCACCUCCAAGCCCCUGCUUCCGCACGUCAUUCUUCUCCCGUCCUCGCGUCGUCGGUCUGGAGGCUAGAGCUCGCGGCCGACGCCCCCGCUCGCCAUUUGCCACGCCUUCAGAUCUGAACUCGCCCGCGAUGACGGUGAUUGGUGGAUGAGAGCCGAGUCCUGAACGGGAAGCAGCGCCCGUCCCUGUCCCACUGCCGUUGGAGAUGCAAGGAUUGCAUCGGCCAUGCCGCAGCAGCUCGGUGGCUGCCACUGCUUCACAUCCCCAUCGAGUCGGCGAGUCGCCCUCUGUCGGGCCCAUGGAAUCGGCUCCCACGACUACAAGUUCUUCCUUGGCCUGUUGUAAACCAUGGUUCUUCUCAAGCGCGGGCUAAGGUGGCACCAUGGCUCGUGCCAAGGAGGCGGCAGCGACCUGCAAACCCUGCAAGCAGCAGUAACACAACAUGUCUCCAUCCAUCCAUUCCUUCCUAUACGCCCUGAGAAUUUUGACUGCCUUUUUUCUAGUAUCCAGGCUGGUAUUUCUCCAGGGCGUAGCUGGACUCCCCUCCCAGGAUCUCACUCCACCACGGGGCCUUCCUGCUGCGAGUCUCUCUGGACGGGAGCUACAACGCCCGUCUCCAUCUCACCUUAGUCAAGAUAUGUAUAGAACUUGGAAAGGACUUGCGAGCUGGGAGAAUUUGGGAAAGGACGUUGGGAAGAUAACCAGGUUUUCAGUUGUGGAGGAACAUGACAAUUUGAACCAACUAAGAUGCAAGGGCAUGCUUCACAUGGAUUCAUACACAAUAAAAUUUGGGAAUAAAUGGUUUUACCUGCCGAUGGCAUCAGAGGAGCAGCUGCAAGCGCCGAGUGAGUAAUUUUCCUUUUGCUCGCAUGUGUCAUGUGGUCACUUGAAACAGAGUACUAGCUCUGCUUGCAAGUGUCAGAACUUCAGGUUUUUGGCUGAACAUUCAAUUGUGGCCCAAUUUUAUUGAUCCUCAUGAUUUGGAGAUCCAGUCUGCCUUGUCGGUUUGGAAUCAUAAGAUGCAUGCACGCUGCAACCUUCCUGCUUAUCAAUUCCUCAUGGUCAGCUCUUCUGAACAUAUUCCUCAUGGUAGAAAUGGCUGGUAUACAUGCCGGCGCGCCCAUCCGUGUGUUCAAGACUGGCUGAUUCACACCAUGGCUGAUGUGUACACACAAGCUGACCAAACACAAGCUGACCAAACACAAGCUAACCAAAAAGAGCAAAAAAGGGGUGCACACAACAUGUCCGCUGGUUAAUAACAAGUGAGCAGGGGUCAAGAGGGGGCUAUCCAAUGACGAGAAAGCUGGGAAGCUCGCAUUGCAGCUUUGGCUUAAGCUGUGAGCACUUUUUCGUCAGAGAAACUGUAGUUUGAUGUUUUGGCCAAGCAAUGGGCUGUUGUACCACAAUGGUGUUCCUAAUUGUUCGCUCUUCCAUAUAGAAGCUCUGAAACAAAAUGAGAUAGCCUGAAAUUAAGGGUAAUGCUUUUGAUAUCUUGAGAAAACAUAUUCAUGGAAUAUAAGUAGAAGGUUUACGAGGUUUGACUUCAAACAAAUCUUCUAUGCGAACUAAAAAGGACUGGAGGGAGUACAUAUACAGUUAAACCAGCUGCUCCGAGAGGGGAUGUUCAGGAUAACGACGGCGAGGAGCAAGUCGGCAUUUGUGAUGCUUCGCCGGAGCUAUUCCAGCUCUUCCAAAGGCACAAGGAGAGCCUAAAGUCAGGGGAAGCAUGUCAGGCUGUCCUACGAGAAGGUCGCGCAACUGAGGAUUCAGGACGCCAACAGUGUGGAGCUGUUCGCCAUCGAGAGGACCAAGGCUGCCAUCAGGGACAUCCGGACCAAGCUCAACAUCUCCCUUGCCUCCGUCAACACCGGCGACCGACUCUACAAGCAUGAUGAAUGCUGCCAUCGCUUGCUUUUGAGCACCUACAAGUUACCCUGUUGCAUGUAAUCUCUAAGACUGCCACUCAUAAGUCUUGCAUGCGCCUGUUAAUACCAGGGCUAUAACAAUUUUUAUGUGUAUAUACUCAGUUCUGCUUUU